CGGUCCCACCAGCUCAAACGCCCUUCCCAGGCUAUGCCAUCGCCAUCAUUGUGCUCUGUAGCUUGCUCAUCAUCCUGAUCCUAGUGGUCCUUGUGGUGGCCCUGAAGACCCACCUGUUCAAGAAGUUGGCACGCGCCUGCUCCCUCAAGUCACCUGACUCCUUUGACCUCAGCGCUCAUCUUUAUGACGCCUUCGAGUAGCCGACAAGCUUGUGAAUCUGCACUGAUGUCCUCCGACCUGCCAGGAGCUCCGCUUAUCAUGAAGUAUUGUGGGCAAAUAUGGAGUUGAGGAGCACCCUGGCUGCCACCUACACGUCUAAGGGACUUUGAUGGACAGAUGGACAAAGGUGACCACUUUUGUCCACUCACUGCCUUCUUCCUUGAAAUUUAGGAGAACUGCACAGCUCAGGAAACGU